GAUGAACGCUGGCGGCGUGCCUAAUACAUGCAAGUCGAGCGAACAGACGAGGAGCUUGCUCCUCUGACGUUAGCGGCGGACGGGUGAGUAACACGUGGAUAACCUACCUAUAAGACUGGGAUAACUUCGGGAAACCGGAGCUAAUACCGGAUAAUAUAUUGAACCGCAUGGUUCAAUAGUGAAAGACGGUUUUGCUGUCACUUAUAGAUGGAUCCGCGCCGCAUUAGCUAGUUGGUAAGGUAACGGCUUACCAAGGCAACGAUGCGUAGCCGACCUGAGAGGGUGAUCGGCCACACUGGAACUGAGACACGGUCCAGACUCCUACGGGAGGCAGCAGUAGGGAAUCUUCCGCAAAGGGCGAAAGCCUGACGGAGCAACGCCGCGUGAGUGAUGAAGGUCUUCGGAUUGUAAAACUCUGUUAUUAGGGAAGAACAAAUGUGUAAGUAACUAUGCACGUCUUGACGGUACCUAAUCAGAAAGCCACGGCUAACUACGUG
rnacentral:rRNA from 1 species